GAUGAACGCUGGCGGCGUGCCUAACACAUGCAAGUCGAGCGAACGGACGAGACUCUUUGUUCUCUGAUGUUAGCGACGGGCGGGUGAGUAACACGUGAAUAACCUACCUAUAUGGCUGGGAUAACUUCGAGAAACCGGAACUAAUGCCGGAUAAUAUUUUGAACCGCAGGGUUCAAGAGUGAAAGACGGUCUUGCUGUCACUUCGCGAUGGAUCCGCGCUGCAUUAGCUAGUUGGUAAGGUAACGGCUUACCAAGGCAACGAUGCAUAGCCGACCUGAGAGGGGGAUAGGCCACACUGGAACUGAGACACGGUCCAGACUCCUACGGGAGGCAGCAGUAGGGAAUCUUACGCAAUGGGCGAAAGCCUUACGCAGCAACGCCGCGUGUGUGAUGAAGGUCUUCGGAUCGUAAAACUCUCUUAUUAGGGAAGAACAUAUGUGUAAGUAAAUGUGCACAUAUUGACGGUACCUGAACAGAAAGCAACGGCUAACUACGUG
rnacentral:rRNA from 1 species